GAUGAACGCUAGCUACAGGCUUAACACAUGCAAGUCGAGGGGAAACGACAUCGAAAGCUUGCUUUUGAUGGGCGUCGACCGGCGCACGGGUGAGUAACGCGUAUCCAACCUGCCCACCACUUGGGGAUAACCUUGCGAAAGUAAGACUAAUACCCGAUGAUAUCUCUAGACGACAUCUGAAAGGGAUUAAAGAUUUAUCGGUGAUGGAUGGGGAUGCGUCUGAUUAGCUUGUUGGCGGGGUAACGGCCACCAAGACGACGAUGGGUAGGGGUUCUGAGAGGAAGGUCCCCCACAUUGGAACUGAGACACGGUCCAAACUCCUACGGGAGGCAGCAGUGAGGAAUAUUGGUCAAUGGGCGAAAGCCUGAACCAGCCAAGUAGCGUGCAGGAUGACGGCCCUAUGGGUUGUAAACUGCUUUCAGUCGGGAAUAACUCGUCGGUCGUGACCGACGUUGCAGGUACCGUCAUAAGAAGGACCGGCUAAUUCCGUG
rnacentral:rRNA from 1 species